AGGAAUGAUGCUCAGGAGCCUGCUUAGAAAGGGAAGAUUGGUGCAUGCUAGUUUGUCUGCAAAUAAAUCAUGAGCUGGAAGAAAGAUAAACUCUGACUUUAGCAAAGGAGUGCAAGGAAAUCAGAGACAAGAUACUGGACUUGAUGGACCAAACUCUUAUCUAAAAUAUGUGGUUCUUGUGUGGAGUUAAGUUCAUUUUCAUUGGACAUAUAUCCAGAAACACUAAAAACUAGAUGAAAGGACAGAAUACCCUCUGGAUUUUCUCCUCAUGUGAACAGUACACUGGCUGAAGUAUUCAAUCAGUUUAUAGGAUCAGCUAACUGCAAAAUGGAACUUUUCCAAAGCACCAAAGUCCUAUUUUCAAAGCAGUUCAAGCAUUUGAAAGUCAAGGUCACCUUGGUUCUUCAGAUGUAACAUCCACUGAUUUGCAGUUAGGUGCUUCAUGAUGGUUCCUUGAAGACUUGCUCAAUGAUGUUUCCAGGCAUAGAGAUCUGGAUGACUGAUCUGUAAUUCCCAUACCUUCCCUUCUUAAAGAUGGGUACUAUAUUGCCCUUUUCCAGGCAUCUGAGAGCUCACCCAACCUCCAUGAAUUCUCAAAAAGGAUAGCAAAUGGCACCAAAAUUACCUAAAUGAAUGAGAUAUUUUUAAUGUUCUUGUUAUAAUUUUUUCAUAAAAAAAUCAACAAACAUAAUAAAAUGGUAUUUAACAAAUGUAUAUUUUAAAAUAUCCUACUGAAAAAUAUUUUAUUUUUCAAACAAUUUUACUAAUAAAUCAGUAAGAUUGGAAAUCAUGUAUGCAUAGGUUAAUGCUGGAAAAUUAGAGAAUGAGAGGAGAGAGUGCAAUUCUAUAUAUCUACAUAGGGGACUGGGUUAGCAACACUAGCUAUGUAUGGAAAUGGUGUAUAGAAUCAAAGGGCCCACACGCAAUCUGAAAUAGCAAUUAUAGACAAAACAAGUACUUAGAGUUCUGAAUUCAUAUUCAGUCAACCAAACAUGUACAGGAGUGAAAAACUUGUCUUUUUAGUUAACUAACUAGGUUACUUGAGACUUGUAGAUAGUUGUACUUUGAUUAUAAGACUACUGCUACCCAAAGCAAUACAAAAGAGAACUGAGUCUCUCAACUAAAUGGAUCCUCAACCACAAAGAAAUCCUGAUAGUAUAUAAAAAAAAUCAUGAUAUUGUUUGGAAAAUCAUGACAUUGAAAAAAAAAUUAAAUGGAAGGUGAAAUUGAGGGAAGUUCUGUCUUUUCCCCUUUACAUUCUGAUUUGAGUCUUUAGUCAUGCCAAAUCAUGUUUCUGAGCAUAUCUUCACACCCAUGAUGAACAGGUCAUUACUUUUUAAAAAAAUAAUACAAUCUGCAAGUCUCACAUCAUUUUUAAACAUUAGAAGUGGAGAAAAGAGAAAAAAAUAUCAAAUAUCACAAGGAUCCUGAAACAAUUCAAGAGUUUAUAACAUUGUGCUCUGUAUCUUCAUACACUCAAAAACCUAACAGCUACACACACAGCUAGAAUCUCUAGGGCUUGUAUGAAGGUUCAGCUUUGUCCAAGGUUCAGCUUUCAG